rnacentral:rRNA from 1 species
AGAGUUUGAUCAUGGCUCAGGAUGAACGCUAGCUACAGGCUUAACACAUGCAAGUCGAGGGGCAGCGGGAAGUUAGCUUGUAACUUGCCGGCGACCGGCGCACGGGUGAGUAACGCGUAUCCAACUUCCCCUUAGUAGGGCAUAGCCCGUAGAAAUGCGGAUUAAUACCCUAUGUUAUUCGUCGAUGACAUCUGAAGUGAAUCAAAGGUUUACCGCUAAGGGAUGGGGAUGCGUCCGAUUAGGCAGCAGGCGGGGUAACGGCCCACCUGGCCGACGAUCAGUAGGGUUCUGAGAGGAAGGUCCCCCACAUUGGAACUGAGACACGGUCCAAACUCCUACGGGAGGCAGCAGUGAGGAAUAUUGGUCAAUGGUCGAGAGACUGAACCAGCCAAGUAGCGUGCAGGAUGACGGCCCUAUGGGUUGUAAACUGCUUUUAUGCGGGGAUAAAGUGAGGGACGUGUCCCUUUUUGUAGGUACCGCAUGAAUAAGGACCGGCUAAUUCCGUGCCAGCCGCUGC